UUAACUGAUACUUGAAAAUUUCUUUGGCAGAGAAUGAUGAAAACGUUUAAGUGUGGAAUGGGUAUGAGGAUGUUAUAUGCUUUCAAUCUGUGAAGGUGUUCGGUGUGAAUAUGCACACAUUUUUGUCAAAAAUGUGCAGAAUGGAGUAAAAAGAAUACAGACAGGCGUGGAGAGUUGGAGUCAAAAGAUGCACAGUGUAGGCGUGGAGUUGGAGAGCGUGCUGUGCAUUUAUUUCCUUCACUUAUCUUAUCUUAGACAUAUGUAUAAAUAAUUGAGGGUAAUUGAUUUGAUCUGUGCGUAUCUAUGUUUAUUUGUAUUCAGACUCUCUUCUCGGUCUCAUUCAAAAGUAC
rnacentral:lncRNA from 1 species